rnacentral:rRNA from 1 species
GGUGUAGGCGGCCUGUCAAGUCCGAUGUGAAAUCUCCCGGCUUAACUGGGAGGGAGCAUCGGAUACUGAUGGGCUGGAGUGCAGCAGAGGGAGAUGGAAUUCCCGGUGUAGUGGUGAAAUGCGUAGAUAUCGGGAAGAACACUAGUGGCGAAGGCGGUCUCCUGGGAUGUAACUGACGCUGAGACCCGAAGGCGUGGGGAGCAAACAGGAUUAGAUACCCUGGUAGUCCACGCAGUAAACGAUGGAUACUAGGUAUGGGGAGUAUCGACCCUCUCCGUGCCGAAGCUAACGCUUUAAGUAUCCCGCCUGGGGACUACGGUCGCAAGACUAAA